CAGCCGCCACGGUAAUACAGAGGGUGCGAGCGUUAAUCGGAUUUACUGGGCGUAAAGCGUGCGUAGGCGGCUUUUUAAGUCGGAUGUGAAAUCCCUGAGCUUAACUUAGGAAUUGCAUUCGAUACUGGGAAGCUAGAGUAUGGGAGAGGAUGGUAGAAUUCCAGGUGUAGCGGUGAAAUGCGUAGAGAUCUGGAGGAAUACCGAUGGCGAAGGCAGCCAUCUGGCCUAAUACUGACGCUGAGGUACGAAAGCAUGGGGAGCAAACAGGAUUAGAGACCCGUGUAGUCCCUGUCUCUUAUAA
rnacentral:rRNA from 1 species